AGAGUUUGAUCCUGGCUCAGGAUGAACGCUGGCGGCGUGCCUAACACAUGCAAGUCGUACGAGCUCGAUCUUCGGAACGGGUUAGUGGCGCACGGGUGAGUAACACGUAGGUGAUCUACCCCAGAGUGGGGGAUAACUUCUCGAAAGAGAGGCUAAUACCGCAUACACUCGGUCAUUCAUUUGGCCGAGCAAAGCUCCGGCGCUUUGGGACGGGCCUGCGUCCGAUUAGCUAGUUGGUAGGGUAAUGGCUUACCAAGGCUUUGAUCGGUAGCUGGUCUGAGAGGACGAUCAGCCACACUGGCACUGACACACGGGCCAGACUCCUACGGGAGGCAGCAGUGAGGAAUAUUGGGCAAUGGGCGAAAGCCUGACCCAGCAACGCCGCGUGAGGGAUGAAGGCCUUCGGGUUGUAAACCUCUUUCUGGGAGAAGAGACAAGGACGGUAUCCCAGGAAUAAGUCUCGGCUAACUACGUG
rnacentral:rRNA from 1 species